AUCACUCUAGUGCGGCAAUUAAGAAAGUUAGUGAGGAGAGAGAAAGCGCGCACAUGGUUUGGCGUGUGUUCACAGGAUGACUUUUAUUCCGCAGUGCAAAAGUUUGAUAGUGAAAGAAAAUGUGUCAGGCCGACCUGGUGCAGAUGCGUGCCUCGCAUGUUGGUUGAGGUAUUUUAAAAAAAGAAAGAAAAAGACGUGCAAAGUGUGCGCCAAACCGCCAGUGAUGUUGGUUUUCAGUUUAGACUGUCUGAUGAAGAGAAGAUGAAGAGGAGGCUGAAGAGUGACAAACUGUGGUGUUCCAGGGACAUGAAGGGGAAUUAAAGCCAGUGAGCACUGAAGCUGUUCUGGAGGCCUGAGGACUGAGAAACGGUUUCACAGCACGACUAUCAGGCUGAUUUCUACCACAUUCACCCAUGCUGACAACCGGAGGGGAAACCACCUGAGCGAAGCUCAUCUGUUGAGAUGUUGCUGAGUCAGUUUGGGGUCAUGACAUCAUCAUCAUGAGAUGGGGAUGGGGGCUGGCGAGCAGUGACCGCAGGCGGCGACAGAAGAGGUGGUGCUCUGUGUUGUGGUUUGCAGCUGCCAGUUCUUGGCAUAAAAAAAAUGACACUGUGGAUUCGCCUUGGGGAAUAAUUUGCUCAAAUGUUGAAAGGAAGAACAAAUUCAAGAGGUUCGAAGGGGCAGUAAGUAAGAAUUUUAUUGUUGCAUCGCACCAAAUGGCCGUAAAACACCUGCAGGAGGUUAGUAGUUUUGUUGAUCGUCCAGGUGUUGAGGUUUUUGGCUUUCCGGCUCGUGGGCUGUUUUUGGAGCACAAAUCUCCACACCCAGUGAAGUCAUUGUGAUGCUGUUGAAAUCCUAGCUGGUGGUGAACACAGCAAGUAUCACACAAGUAAAUGAUUACUUAAAACCUUUUUUAAAGCUUAUUCAUUGACUCUGAGAUUUAGGCUUGCCUCCGUGUGAAAGCUGGCAUUCCCAUGUGCAUAAAAUAGUGUUUAUGUGCUGUUUUAUAUUAACAUUCAAAUCUGGAGAGAGAAAAAAAAACACACUGAUACCCUACAGUUUAAGAAGUUCAUUUAGAGACAUUAAAGCAACAGAAAUAUGAGUUUGGACAGCUAAUCUGAACAGUGUGAUAACGCUUUGUGUGUUCACUUAACACUAGUCAUUUGUUGACUAGGUCGCAAAAGUUAAAUGUUGUUACUAUUAGUAAAAGUUUAGACAUUUUAAAACAGCCAUCGGACGGAUAAUCUCCACUGGCCCUUAUUGUCUAAGUGAAUUUGUUCUUUCUCUCUGUGUGUUGCAGACAGUUCACCUUGCCUGUAUUUUGAAAAUAAAUCAAAUGUAACAUUAUUAUUAUCUUAAAAUUCAAUGAAUUCAUACUCUUGAUGAGUUUAAUGUUUAAUCAUUUAUGAUUUAAACAGGAAUAAAGGUUAAAAAAUUCACUCAGCACAUAAAAGACAAAUUCAAAGAACACGUUUUUUAAAAUAGUUGUCACAUAAUUUGAAUUUCAGCCUCCUAGCUGUGUACACAGUUGAUGUGCUCACUUCCUUUAAGGACAAUAGAUGCACUUUAGCAAACGAAGUGCAUGUGUUAUCCUAUGCAUGUACUGCUGUUGUUAAAAUAGUGCUUUAACAACAAUAUAAUGAUAUUAUUUAUAAAAGAAUAUUUCUACCUCAAUAUAGUAAAUAAAGGAUAACUAAAAUAUAAAUUAAUCAAAUCUUAAUUAUUUACCUAGACUUUGUUGUUUUAUUUUUUUUUAUAAAAUGAGGAAAAUAAUUAUUUUUUAGAGGUCAUAAAAAAUACCUCUAAAAUAUAUAUUAUUAAUUAUUUUCUAAUACAUGUAUUACUUCAAACAACAUAGUUUUUUCUACAUGAUACAGACAAUUUGAUAUAAACAACUGUGACCAGUUUCAUAGUUAGUGAAGUGUGUAACUGGCUGAGUGUGACUGCUGUGUAACAGUGCUGCGUUUGGAAACAGGUCAUUUAUGGGUCGAGUGAGUUUCAUGAUCCUCAGGCUGUUGUCACACAUUAAAACCGCAUUGUUGAAUUUCAAAAUGUGGCUAUCAGCGAAGACGUGCAUCAUUUUCUCCCAAAACAUUUUCUCCUUCCAAGAAUAACGAUUUUCUGUUUGUCCCGAGAUGGACCAAAAUUUCAGCCUGGCAAAAACAAAAAAUUCAAUUUAGAGCCUCAGGUGACCCACUAGAGAGACUUGUUCUUAUGUAAACAACAGAAAGAAGACUCAAAACCCACACGCCCAGUAGAAAUAACUUAUUGUUGUUUAAGCACUUUACUAAAGACAGCAAAUGAUUAGAAAAUAAUUAUAUAUUUUUAUAGUAAUAAGACAAAGAUGUAUUUUUUGUUUGUGACAAAUAAAAAAAUCUCUCAGUAUAAAUCUUGUCCUGAGUUUGGAAAUAAACCCAUCUCCCUACCUUCAGUCUUCAGUCUGUACUGUUCUAGUAAUUUCUCCUCUAUGUAAUCCUUCCCUGAUGAAGAAAACUCUCUCAUACUCACAUGCAGCUGGGAAUCAGCUCCAAAAGC